GAACGAUCGGCUAGCAAUGGUGAAAGGGGUGCAUGGUCCAACACAGAUUGAAAAUUGCUGAUCUAAGAGAAGGAGUGCCUUCGUGGAGGGUGUUUUAAGGUUUUUUUCCUGAAAAUUGCUGACAUAAACCAUCAUCAAAAUGGUGUUCAAGAGAGUUGAUAAGAAAUUUAAAAUCUGUACUUACCGACCUUGAUAUGAAGAAGAUGAACAUGGAUAUGUUAAAAGAAAUUCUUUAAUGUUUAUCUGAAAAAGAAAAAUAAGGCUCCGUUAAGAAAGAAAAUGCAGAAUAUUGUGCAUGUUUUUAAAUUAAUAACAUAUAUGUGAAGUGAUAUUUUAUGAUAAUACAUGUUAAGAAACUUAUUUUUAAGAAAACAUAUUAUUAAAGAAGCAUGUUAAACAUGUCUCAGAAAGCAUGCUAUUAAAAAACAUUAAAACGUG